UGCAAUUAUAUGCAAGUGGUAGAUUUUUCUUACAUAGACAUUACAUUUACUAUCAUUUUUUUAGUAUUAUUUUUGGAACUGAUGGUUGCGUCCUAGCUAACUUUGUAAGGCAAGGGUAUUGAUUAUUAGAGCCAUUUUAAUGUCUAAUUUUGGAGGUUGAGGUGAAGCUUCAAUGAAUUUUUUCUGAAUUUGAACGUUAAAGUAGAUACCUUGUGUAGGGAAGAGUAAUCUCUGCACGUUAAAGAACCCUUGCAACAACUCUCUGAGGGGUCUGUAGGUUGCAUGUUGCAAGGCAAAAUUUCUCUCCCUUCAAGUUGCCCCUUUUUUCUAUGGUAGUUUAAAUUUUCGUUACACCCUUCAACCCUGUUUACCCACUUUGCAAAACCUACCUACUGGAAUUAUGGUCCUGAAUAUGCAUGAAACAUUUGCAACUGGACAUUAACUGUCUGCAAUGAGAUGGAACAUUAUGAAAGAUGGUUAUCCUAGCUUGAGAUCUCCAUGACCAGAGCAUUAGUACUGAUGCCAGAUGAUAAGCUUUCCAUUGGUGACAACAGACUAAUUUCAACCAGAAAGAUGGUCAUUUCAGAUGUAUCAAGAAAUCAAGGCAUUUUCAUGUUUAUUUUAAGAUACCAAGAAAAGGUUAACUCAAUGUUGCUGCAGGACUUGGAAAUUUGAUACAGUUUUAUCUCAGAUGCCGAUAUCACAGAAAAAAGGUUUUAUUCAAUGUUGCUGCAGGACUUGGAAAUUAUAUCCUGUUUUAUCUCAGUGUUGAACAGAAAUUGAGAUAAAUUGCUGUCAAAAAUUCUAUAGACUUGAGAAUGAGAAAAAACAUUUCAUCAACAGAAC